UACGAAGGGGCUAGCGUUGCUCGGAAUCACUGGGCGUAAAGGGUGCGUAGGCGGGUCUUUAAGUCAGGGGUGAAAUCCUGGAGCUCAACUCCAGAACUGCCUUUGAUACUGAAGAUCUUGAGUUCGGGAGAGGUGAGUGGAACUGCGAGUGUAGAGGUGAAAUUCGUAGAUAUUCGCAAGAACACCAAUGGCGAAGGCAGCUCUCUGGGACGGUACUGACGCUGAGACGCGAAAGCG
rnacentral:rRNA from 1 species